AACAGACCCUAUGCAGCUUUACUGUAGUUAGUUAUCACAUUGAUCUACAACAACCUUAGUUAAUAGUGAUUAGGGAUGUCGAUAGACGAAGCUAUACCUAAACUUUAGCUCUUGCCAUGGUUUAGGUGUGGAGUGGAAUACCUUAGAGUUAAGGUUGGGUCAAUGUUUACCUUAUAAUUAUUAAAUAAUUAAGGGGAGAGUUGACUAAUUGGCAGUUUGACUGGGGCGGUCGUCCUUGAUAUAGUAGCAAAGUACAUCCAAUUAUUUUUUUUAUUUAAAUAGUGUUUAAGUUUUUCUUUCUCUCUAUCUUUUUAGGAAAAGAUAAAUUUAUAACAUACUGACAAAUAAAUAAGUAUUAUUAUAAUACAAUUUAUAUUUUUUAAUAUAAGGUAUAGCUAUAAGAUUGAAAGGGGAUCAAUCCGACCGGUGAGAAAGGUCGUAGAGGCGUAAUGGCGUAAGCAUACCUAACUGAAAGACCUAGAAGUCGGACAGAUACGUAAGUAGGGCAUAGUGACCCUCCGCUAUAAUAUGGAAUAGACGGAGAUCAAUCGAUAAAAGUUACGCUAGGGAUAACAGGCUGAUAGCUGGUGAGAGUACACAUUGUCCCAGCUGUUUGGCACCUUAAUUU
rnacentral:ncRNA from 1 species